rnacentral:rRNA from 1 species
GUAACACGUGGGCAAUCUGCCCUUCGAUGGGGAAUAACCUCGCGAAAGCGAGGCUAAUUCCGUAUAACAUUCCGAUGACUUCGGUCAAUGGACUCAAAGCCGUAAGGCGUCGAAGGAGGAGCCCGGGCACGAUUAGCUAGUUGGUGAGGUAACGGUCACCAAGGCUAUGAUCGUUAGCUGGUCUGGAGAGGAUGGCCAGCCACACUGGAACUGAGACACGGUCCAAGACUCCUACGGGAGGCAGCAGUGGGGAAUCUUGCACAAUGGGCGAAAGCCUGAUGCAGGACGCCGCGUGGGGGAUGAAGCUUUUCGGAGUGUUAAACCCCGUUUCGACCCGGACGAAUGGCUCGCAAGAGGACUGACGGUACGGGUAUAAGAAGCCCCCGGUAAUUACGUUGCCAGCAGCCGCGGGUAAGACGUUGGGGGGCCAGGG